UCUGGCUACAAUGACUAUAACCCCACCUUGACACAGAGGAUUUAGAAAAUGACACAGCUUUUCAGCAGGCUGUGAGAACUAAUCAUGGUAGAAGACCCCCAGUAACAGCCAAAAUUCCAGGCACAUCAGCUUCACGGCCUUUAGCUACAGGGUUUGGGGUAA